GUUGGUGUCUUGGGGUAAGAGGCUCUUCAGGCUGAAAGGUGAGCAGAGGCUGUCAGAAGCUGGGGAGAUCUGGAUCACCCAAAGCAAACAUGAGCCCUUACUCAGAUCUCACAGCAAAGACCAUCCCUGAAUCUGUCCAUGCAGAGGCCCAGGUCUCUGCCCAGAGCCUUGCUGCCUAGCUCCGCAGCUCCCCAGCUCCAGACCCACCGCUCUCUAGCCUUAGGACAGCUCCACUGGGAUGUCCCUAUGCCCUUCACACUCAGCCUGUGCAGAGAGGGACUGCCGAGACCCAGGCCUGCUCCUGCCACCUCCUUGCUCAAAACCCUCCAUCUACAAACACUUGAGAAAAUGAUUUGGCAUCACAUAUUCAAGUUGAACAUGCGCACGCUCUCCAACCCAGCAAGUCUACUCCUGGGAAUAUACCCAACAGGCAUGUGUACCAAAGACGUAUGCAAGGAUAUUCAAAGCACUAUGCAUAAUAGCCAAGAACUGGAGACCACCCGAUGCCCAUCAACAGACAGUGGUGGAUUCACACAACGGAGUGCUACAAGCUACGGAGAUAGCUGCAAUAUUGAGAAAUCUCACAGACGUCCUGUUGAACAACAGAAAAGACACGACACAGUUCAUACUGUACACCUGCAUUUAUAAAGUUCAAAAAACAGGCAAAACAAACCUGUGGUACCAGAAGACAGGAUAGUGGUCAGCCUUGGGGGCACAUAGUAACUGGCAGGGACCCGCAGGGGCUUCUUUGUGUUAGAUGCCUGACAGAUUUUGAUCGGGAUGUUGGUUCCAUGGGUAUAUUCCUUGUGAAAAUUUACCAAGAUGCAUACUUAUGAUAGGUGAAUUUUUCUGUAUAUGUAUUAUGCUUCAAUAAAAAGCUAAAAUAAAGGAAUAAAUAAAGUCU